CAAUAGCGUAUAUUUAAGUUGUUGCAGUUAAAAAGCUCGUAGUCGGAUUUUGGCUGAGAACGAUCGGUCCGCCGUUAGGUGUGCACUGAUUGGUCUCAGCUUCCUGGUGAGGAGGUGUGCUUCACGGCCACUUAGUCACCGUGGUUACUUUGAAAAAAUUAGAGUGUUCAAAGCGGGCUUACGCUUGAAUAUAUUAGCAUGGAAUAACACCAUAGGACUCCUGUCCUAUUUCGUUGGUCUCGGGACGGGAGUAAUGAUUAAGAGGAACAGUUGGGGGCAUUCGUAUUUCAUUGUCAGAGGUGAAAUUCUUGGAUUUAUGAAAGACGAACUUCUGCGAAAGCAUUUGCCAGGGAUGUUUUCAUUGA
rnacentral:rRNA from 1 species